rnacentral:rRNA from 1 species
UACGUAGGGUCCGAGCGUUGUCCGGAAUUAUUGGGCGUAAAGGGCUCGUAGGCGGUCUGUCGCGUCGGCUGUGAAAACUCGGGGCUCAACUCCGAGCCUGCAGUCGAUACGGGCAGACUAGAGUGCUGUAGGGGAGACUGGAAUUCCUGGUGUAGCGGUGAAAUGCGCAGAUAUCAGGAGGAACACCGGUGGCGAAGGCGGGUCUCGUGGGCAGUAACUGACGCUGAGGAGCGAAAGCGUGGGGAGCGAACAGG